UACGUAGGGUGCAAGCGUUAAUCGGAAUUACUGGGCGUAAAGCGUGCGCAGGCGGUGAUGUAAGACAGAUGUGAAAUCCCCGGGCUCAACCUGGGAACUGCAUUUGUGACUGCAUAGCUAGAGUACGGUAGAGGGGGAUGGAAUUCCGCGUGUAGCAGUGAAAUGCGUAGAUAUGCGGAGGAACACCGAUGGCGAAGGCAAUCCCCUGGACCUGUACUGACGCUCAUGCACGAAAGCGUGGGGAGCAAACAGG
rnacentral:rRNA from 1 species